AAUAUAUCAUCCAAUAUGAAUACAUUCCAUACAAGAAAAUCUUGGGUUGUUCAAAAUCAUUUCCACAUUUCAGUGGGCUUGCAUUUCCAACACACCCACACAUCAAGUUAAAAAGCUAGGAGAUGAAUUGAUAAUACAUAGAGAAUUCAGCUGAUGACAAACCUACAAAAUUACACAAAAUUGUUAUGCGUCUUGAAAUUUGUCUUAUCCAUGCGGCUAUAUAGUAGCAUUACACUCCACAUACAUAAUUGAAUUUCAAAUUACAAAAGAAUAAAAUAAAGCCCGAUAUGAAGAUGCAACAACAACAUUCAUAUUCGAGAUAUGUACGGUCGAAUAUUCACAAAACAUGAGUUCCUGCACAACAGAUGGAAAGAUUAUAAGUGAAUUUUCAGCGCACAUAAAAGUAAUUCUCUCUAACAAAAAUGUAAGCCUUUUUAUAAUACGAAGAGUAGAUCCCAUGUGAUUGUGAGAGAUAUAAAUAUGUACUGAAUAUACCUAAUAAUUUCUUCACCCGGAAAGGCAAAAGAGCUCUAAACUCAUUUUCUGAACGGCUUAAGAGGAACCUCUGAAUAUUUUUAAACGUGAACGCGGACCCUUUGAUCGUGCUUCCAGAAGCUUUGCCUUCAAAGUAUUUUCCUUCAAGUUUGGAGGCAAUUUUGUAGAAGACUCAGAAAUGUCAAGAUCUGGGGUUGUGAGUUUCGCCAUCCACUGUCUAACUGGACUAGCAUUUCUCUUGGUUGGGUAACUGGAGGAUGCCUCGCCUGCAUCAUUCUCAUGAUGCACAUUCCGUGCUUCUGAUGAUGAAAUAUGACUUCUUAUCAAGUUAUCAAUCACAUAAUUUGGGUUCAGCCCAUGCAUCUCAUCAACUUUAUUCUUUCUUUCAAGGCUGCCACCGUCAUUAGCAUCAUAAUUUUCGGAUUUUCGAGAAGCACUCAAUUCAUUUGGAUUCCCUUCACCUGCUUUUACCUCUUCCGAGUCAACUACCUGAGACUUCUUGUUUCCAUUAGGUGCCACUGCCCAAGCCAUCUGUUCUUCGAAUUUGACUUGCAAGCUUGAUGGACUCUGACGUCUAAUUCUUUCGCGAGAUGCAAACUUCUUUGUUUGACAAGAUUUGACAGUUUCAUCAACAUGCCCAUCUGCAGCAUCAUCUCUAUGCAUGUUAAAUUCACCAUUACUCGGUUUGUUAAGCUCAAAACAAUGUGAAUCGCUACUUGCAGAAUCCUCUUCAUCACCGACAUCCU
rnacentral:misc_RNA from 1 species